AACAAACGCUGGCGGCAUGCCUUACACAUGCAAGUCGAACGGUAACAGGUCUUCGGAUGCUGACGAGUGGCGAACGGGUGAGUAAUACAUCGGAACGUGCCUAGUAGUGGGGGAUAACUACUCGAAAGAGUGGCUAAUACCGCAUGAGAUCUACGGAUGAAAGCAGGGGAUCGCAAGACCUUGUGCUACUAGAGCGGCCGAUGGCAGAUUAGGUAGUUGGUGGGAUAAAAGCUUACCAAGCCGACGAUCUGUAGCUGGUCUGAGAGGACGAUCAGCCACACUGGGACUGAGAAACGGCCCAGACUCCUACGGGAGGCAGCAGUGGGGAAUUUUGGACAAUGGGCGCAAGCCUGAUCCAGCAAUGCCGCGUGCAGGAUGAAGGCCUUCGGGUUGUAAACUGCUUUUGUACGGAACGAAAAGCCCUGGGUUAAUACCCUGGGGUCAUGACGGUACCGUAAGAAUAAGCACCGGCUAACUACGUGCCAGCCGCCGCGGUAAAAC
rnacentral:rRNA from 1 species